AUAAAUAGAGAAGAUGUAAAUGCAUUACUAAUUAAUCAAAAAAAAUCAUCAAAAUGGUGUGCCCCAAAAAUCUUAAGCCAAUAAUUUUUGUGUUACUGCUCGUUUUCAUAGCAUCUAGUAAUGAUAUGGUAUCAGCGCAGUGGUGCUCCUUGAAAGGUUAUCCAUGCAUUAAAGACGUAGCGGUGUGUUGCGAAGGACUAUAUUGUAGCGGGGCAAUUUCAGGUAUUUGUUGUGAGUCUAGGUGGUGGGGGCCUGAUUGCUCCCAAUAGCUAAUGAAAUAUAUAAUCUUCGUUAAGUAUUAGUUGCAACUUUCCCAAAAAAAAAAAGAAAAAAAAAAGGUGUUAGUUGCAACUUUGAAAUAUUUAACGGUGAUAAUAUUAAGAUUGGAUGGAUGAAUGGAGUUGUGGUGGUGUGUUUUUGGAUUUGUUGUUGAGCUACCAAGAUUUCAUAGUAGUAAUGUUUAAGUUAUUGAAAUAAGCCAGUCCGUGUGGACUAUGGAUGUUAUCUGUAAAAGAAGUCAAACCAUCCAAUGUAUGUGCUAAUCUUUCAUAAAAGUACUUUAUUAUAA